ACAUAACUACUCCCAAAACAGUUAUAAAGAAACAAUAUCCCCGAAUGAAUGGCAAAUGGUUGUUGACAUAACAUAACAAGGAAUUCAUACAUUGGUUUAAUAAGAGGAUUUCUAAUGAUGAUGGUGUAUCUGAGACAAUUAAAUGAUUAUCGUUUACACCAAAUAUACUGUGAUAACUUGGAAGGUAUACGCCAUUUCCAAUUAUUCCUUUUAUACAAAAGCAGAAGAUAAUCGUAAUACAAUGUAAAAUAGUGGGGUUAUGGUUAGGCCGAAUCCAUGUAUUUCUUUAGUUCAAAAGAUGAGAAUCAUAUUUUGGAAACCACCAUAUUUUAUGGUAUCAUUGUGGAGAUUUUGGAGAUUGGUUAUGUUAUUUUCAAAGUAGCUUUAUUUAAAUGCAAGUGGGUUCUCAGUAACAAUGGUGUAAAAAUAGAUGAGUUAGGAUUCACACGGUCUGACCUUGAGAAGGAAACUUAUAACAUUGAACCAUUUAUCAUGGUUACUCAAGCAAAACAAGUUUUUUACGUGACAGACCCUGUAGACUUAUCAAGGAGAUUGUCGGUUGUUCUCAAAGAAAAACACAUUCCUCAGAGUGAUGAUGAAAGUUUUGAUUUCCUUCCACUCCUUCUUAUGCAACACAAAUGCCUACUUCGUAUGACGAAAUUGAUAGAGAUUAUGUACAUAUUAUUCGUAAUUAUCCUCAAGAAGGCAUAUGGGAAAAUUAACAAUUAACAAUUUUAUAUUUUUCAUUCAUAAUUUAUUAUAUGUUAUAAUUUCUAAUGAUGUUAUUUUCUAACAACUAUUAUUAUUUUCUAAUUCAAUUAAUACACAAUUUAUCAACAAGUAUAACUAGGGGAUUCAAAAUUUCUCAACUUAUUUUCGUAACAAAACAUUGUUGAAAACCGCCAUUCGUUAAUAAUUUUAAAUCGUAUUAUUAAUACCUUGUUAAAUUUACAAUCCCUUUGUAGAAAAAUUAUUUUAUUAAUUCGACGAGACAAUUACACUUGCUAGAAUUUUCAUCAGUAUGUUAUAAAUGUUUGUGUUAUUGUUGAUGUUUUUGUUGAGGUAUGUUUCAAUGUUUGUGUAAUUAUUCAUGCUAUACCUUAUAUAUUGCAACAUUCAUUAUGUUCAAUCAACAUGUCAUAGAUGAUGAGUUAUUAUAUUGUAUGUGGUUUGACUAUUUUUCUUACCCUUUACUGAAUAUAUAACCUUUCGAAUUGAAUUAGAAAAAUAUAAUAUGAGAUGUUAUGUUAUAUUUGAAAACAAGUUGCACUUAUCAAUGUUUUAUGAGCUUUUUGCACCAUAUUAUUUGUAUCUUACUCUUUAAUGGUUAGAACUUCGUUCAAUGCAUCUAUAGUUCUUCUGAUGUCACUUCCUUCACGUUUUAUUUUGUCUUCAAAGCAAAUAAUAUUUUGGAAAAUGAAAAAGAGGUGAAGGAAGUAUUAGUAGAUGAAAUAGAAACAUUGGAACAAAUUCAAAUUAUUAAAGAGAAAAAUGCGGAUAAUGACUUGUAUAAAGGUUGUACAACAUUGAUUAGUGUAACUUGUUUUUCUAUAAUAAAAUUUAAUUUGUCAUAUUAUUGAACUAAGAAUUCCAUAUAAAUUAUGAUAAACUCAAGUAAGUGUGUCACUAUAGUUGAGAUCUAGAAUCUUAGUAAAACGUUGUAAACUAAGUUUUUCUAGAACCGUGGUGAUAUGUAUUCAAAUCUACAAAAAUCCAGGGAUUGAGUAUCGAACCCCUUACCUCAACCUUUUACUAGGGUUGUUAUAUACAUCUGUAGUGGUAUGUUAAGCGUUUAUGUGUUUUUACCACGACUAAUAAUUCGUAUUGAUAAAGAGAGCACAUACAACCAUACCCUUCUUUACUACGGACCACCGUUGGUGGCGGAAUCCUUCUCACAACCGUGAUACAAAAAAUACUAUUUACAGUAAUGACCAUACCUGCCAGAUAGAAAGUCAACCCAUAUAUAUUUCAUACAACUUUUCUUACAGAGAUACAUGUUAUUUACCUGAGGACAUACUUGCGACUUUUACUUUAGAAUUUACCUGCUGAUUUAUCUAUGAGUUUAUUAGCAAUAUUUCUUGCAAAUUUACUUGAGAAUCUACCUGCAAAAAUACUUACCUAAAAAGAUUUUAGUUGAAGUUAAAGAUUCAUAAGAAGUUUCCUAGUAAAGCUAUUUUCUACAUAUUUUUUAUUCAAAUCCGUAGAAACAUUGCAGGAAAUUCUUGGAAUGUAAAUUAAAGACAUGGAGAUAUCUUUGAAAUUGUGUGAAAAGAGGACAAUUUAAAAAUCAUUAUUUGCUGCUUUAUUUAAUUUGGUUACAAUAAUCUUACCUUAAUAUACAAAAGCAUAACUACAAUCUGAUGGCAACAUAAUAACUAAAUGGGAAUAUGGUCUCUUAUGGGAGUGAUCACUUUAGCACAUCUACAUCGUCUACCCACACACUUCGACAUAUAUGGCCUUUUGUACAAAUUUGGUGGACAAUCAGAAUCUCUGAAACAUCUAUUAAUACCUAGAAUGAAAAAUGAGAAUAAAAUAAUUUAAAUAAUAUGCUUUAAAUGUUUAUACAAAGUAACGAAUGAAUUUGUAAAGAAUAAAAAAUGGAUUACUUGCAAUAGUCGAUGGCACAAGAAAUAUAAAAGUGAAGAAAAUCAUUACAUAAAUAAACUUGACAAUUUUAGUCAUAGUUCCCCUUUGCAAUCAAGAAAUAGUUUUAUCAAUUUAUAUUUGUUAUGGUUUCACCUCUCCUCACACCAAUUAAAUAUUUUUUGACCAUUAUGUAAUUGUAAGAAAUCCUUUUUAAAAUUAGAAUAAUUAUUAAAUAAAUUCUUAAGUAUAUCAAUGUGUAGUAUUUGUCGUUUUAGCACACUUAGUAAGC
rnacentral:lncRNA from 1 species